rnacentral:rRNA from 1 species
UAGGGAAUCUUCGGCAAUGGACGAAAGUCUGACCGAGCAACGCCGCGUGAGUGAAGAAGGUUUUCGGAUCGUAAAACUCUGUUGUUAGAGAAGAACAAGGACGUUAGUAACUGAACGUCCCCUGACGGUAUCUAACCAGAAAGCCACGGCUAACUACGUGCCAGCAGCCGCGGUAAUACGUAGGUGGCAAGCGUUGUCCGGAUUUAUUGGGCGUAAAGCGAGCGCAGGCGGUUUCUUAAGUCUGAUGUGAAAGCCCCCGGCUCAACCGGGGAGGGUCAUUGGAAACUGGGAGACUGGAGUGCAGAAGAGGAGAGUGGAAUUCCAUGUGUAGCGGUGAAAUGCGUAGAUAUAUGGAGGAACACCAGUGGCGAAGGCGGCGCUCUGGUCUGUAACUGACGCUGAGGCUCGAAAGCGUGGGGAGCAAACAGG